ACGCUGGCGGCAGGCCUAACACAUGCAAGUCGAGCGGCAGCACGGGUACUUGUACCUGGUGGCGAGCGGCGGACGGGUGAGUAAUGCCUAGGAAUCUGCCUGGUAGUGGGGGAUAACGCUCGGAAACGGACGCUAAUACCGCAUACGUCCUACGGGAGAAAGCAGGGGACCUUCGGGCCUUGCGCUAUCAGAUGAGCCUAGGUCGGAUUAGCUAGUUGGUGAGGUAAUGGCUCACCAAGGCGACGAUCCGUAACUGGUCUGAGAGGAUGAUCAGUCACACUGGAACUGAGACACGGUCCAGACUCCUACGGGAGGCAGCAGUGGGGAAUAUUGGACAAUGGGCGAAAGCCUGAUCCAGCCAUGCCGCGUGUGUGAAGAAGGUCUUCGGAUUGUAAAGCACUUUAAGUUGGGAGGAAGGGCAGUUACCUAAUACGUAUCUGUUUUGACGUUACCGACAGAAUAAGCACCGGCUAACUCUGUGCCAGCAGCCGCGGUAAUACAGAGGGUGCAAGCGUUAAUCGGAAUUACUGGGCGUAAAGCGCGCGUGGGUGGUUCGUUAAGUUGGAUGUGAAAUCCCCGGGCUCAACCUGGGAACUGCAUUCAAAACUGACGAGCUAGAGUAUGGUAGAGGGUGGUGGAAUUUCCUGUGUAGCGGUGAAAUGCGUAGAUAUAGGAAGGAACACCAGUGGCGAAGGCGACCACCUGGACUGAUACUGACACUGAGGUGCGAAAGCGUGGGGAGCAAAC
rnacentral:rRNA from 1 species